UCCGGCUUAUCACCGGCAGUUUCUCCAGAGUGCCCAGCUUGACCUGAUGGCAACAGGAGACGAGGGUUGCGCUCGUUGCGGGACUUAACCCAACAUCUCACGACACGAGCUGACGACAGCCAUGCAGCACCUGUGCUUCCCCCACCCGAAGUGAAGGAUUCCUUUUCGGGAAUCCAAAGGGAGCAAGUCGAGUCCUGGUAAGGUUCUUCGCGUUGCCUCGAAUUAAACCACAUGUUCCACCGCUUGUGCGGGUCCCCGUCAAUUUCUUUGAGUUUUAAUCUUGCGACCGUACUCCCCAGGCGGGAUGCUUAACGCGUUAGCUGCGCCACUGAGAGGUAACCCCCCAACGGCUAGCAUCCAUCGUUUACGGCGUGGACUAC
rnacentral:misc_RNA from 1 species